rnacentral:rRNA from 1 species
CCUACGGGUGGCAGCAGUGAGGAAUAUUGGUCAAUGGACGAGAGCCUGAACCAGCCAAGUAGCGUGCAGGAUGACUGCCCUACGGGUUGUAAACUUCUUUUAUACAGGGAUAACACGCGGCACGUGUGCCUUUUUGCAUGUACCUUAUGAAUAAGGAUCGGCUAACUCCGUGCCAGCAGCCGCGGUAAUCCGGAGGAUCCGAGCGUUAUCCGGAUUUAUUGGGUUUAAAGGGAGCGUAGAUGGGUCGUUAAGUCAGGUGUGAAAGUUUGCGGCUCAACCGUAAAAGUGCAGUUGAUACUGGAAGCCUUGAGUACAGAUGAGGUAGGCGGAAUUCGUGGUGUAGCGGUGAAAUGCAUAGAUAUCACGAAGAACCCCGAUUGCGAAGGCAGCUUACUAAACUGCGACUGACAUUGAUGCUCGAAGGUGCGGGUAUCAAACAGGAUUAGAUACCCGUGUAGUC